UGAUAUGACGACAAAAUAGCUGUGCACCAGUCUGAAAGGAUACCAGUACUCGGUAACCGUUGAAGUAUAUCUAACUAUACCCAAAUUUCUGAUA
rnacentral:snoRNA from 1 species